rnacentral:rRNA from 1 species
CACGUAGGGGCCAAGCGUUGUCCGGAUUCAUUGGGCGUAAAGAGCUCGUAGGCGGUUCAGUCAGUCGGGUGUGAAAUCUCCGGGCUCAACUCGGAGGGGCCACCCGAUACUGCUGUGACUCGAGUCCGGUAGGGGAGUGGGGAAUUCCUGGUGUAGCGGUGGAAAUGACGCAGAUAUCAGGAGGAACACCGGUGGCGAAGGCGGGUCUCUGGGCCGAUACUGACGCUGAGGAGCGAAAGCGUGGGGAGCGAACAGG